UCAGUACUUACAGUUUAGUCUAGUCCCAGUGUAUCUUCAAGGUGUUGUUUCAAGGUGUUUCUCCGUGGCUUCAUCAAUACUACACUGCAUGUGCUUCAGUGGACACGAUUCAAAGUUCCCUAAGGUGAUCUGAGGAUGAGCCUGCUCAUGUGGUCUAUGCUAGUCCUGUUUCUCUGUUCAAGCAGUAAAGAGAUGGUUGUGGAUAAAACCGGUAGACCAGCAAGAUGGCCUUCAUAUCAGAUGGAAAGGGGACAAAACAUCCGAAACCUGAAAAGACAUUCAGAUGGGACAUUCACCAGCGAUUUCACCCGCUAUCUUGAUAAAAUUAAGGCUAAAGAUUUUGUGGAGUGGCUGGCCAGCACCAAGCGAGAAGGGUGUCAUGAAGACCUGCUCCAGAUUGCAGCAGAGGUUUAAGACAGCCCAGGGAACAUGUGUGCUUGUUACUGCUUUACAUCAUCCAGCAACAUAAAAGAAGACAAAUCCUCGGCACCAACAUCAGAAAUAUCGGUCGAUAUAUUUAUUCCCAGGUAUUCUCAAAUAAAAGGUACAUUUUGCACUUUGCUGUUUCCAUAAUAAGCAACAAAGUGAAGAAAAAUAAUCAAGAUGUUCAACUUCUGAAUUCAUGUCACUUGUUAUUUUGAAAUGUCAGAGUUAUUUAUUUCAGAGCUUAAGUCCCUCUACAAGCUUUCUUCUUUUCAAAUGUCUUUUUUUUUUCAUUUUCAUUGUCAUGUUCAGAUACGUACACCUUAUAAGUACACUGGCAUGCUUUAUUUUUACUUUGAUUUU